rnacentral:rRNA from 1 species
CCCUUAGAUGUUCGGGGCCGCACGCGCGCUACACUGAAUGAAUCAGCGAGUGUAUGUCCUAGGCCGAAAGGUCCGGGUAACCCGUUGAACCUCAUUCGUGAUUGGGAUAGGGACUUGCAAUUGUUUCCCUUGAACGAGGAAUUCCCAGUAAGCGCAAGUCAUCAGCUUGCGUUGAUUACGUCCCUGCCCUUUGUACACACCGCCCGUCGCUACUACCGAUUGAAUGACUCGGUGAAAAAUUGGGACCGUGAGUCUGUUUGCUUCAUUGCGAGUGGAUUGAUGGGAACUUUUUUAAACCUCGCCAUUUAGAGGAAGGUGAAGUCGUAACA